rnacentral:lncRNA from 1 species
ACGUAAAUACGUUACGUAACCUAGGUUACAUAUAUAUUAAGAAGUUUUAUUGAUUCAUAGCUAACUUACAUUCCAAUAUAAACGUAAUUAAUUCAUAAGAAACACUUACCUGCUUAUACUAGAUACGAAUAAUUAAAAGCGAUACAUUCAAAUCGUAAUAUUUAAGUUAUAAUUGCAUCCUGAUCCUGACCUAUGCAUUGCGCACUUUACCUUGCGCGACAUUCCUUCGUUGUAAAACCGGCCGGUGGCGCUCCCCGCCCCGCGCCUUACUCCACCGCUCCCGCGCGGCUUCACAGCUCGGGGCAGACAGAUUGAGACAUCGGCGCCGGCGCACGUUCGCUUUGCUCAAAGCUCGCGACUAUACAUGUAGCCGGCGUGAUUUUAAAUUUAUUUAAUUCCUAAUACGUCUUAGUGCUCGUUUAGUACCAAGUAACGUUUGUAUUUAGUGUUUAAAUCCCCAAUUGGGGAGCCAUAUUACGGCUGGAACUACAGCCCAGGCCGGGUUACGACGGUUCCGGAACCUCUACACAAGUUCCGGCAGAUCCGGAGCGGAGCGGCUGACGUCCCUCGGCGCGUUCCGUCUUCAGCCCGCAACGACACCAGCAGCUUCAGGGGAGUACUUGCGUGGUGGACCUGACCUCGGAGCAAAAUCAGUAUCGGCCUUACGAACCCACACCUAACGACCUUUGUUCGUGUGCUCACGCGGAGUUACGGCGAGAAUAAACCAGUUCUUUAUUUUAA